GCAAAAAGGAGCGAGAAGGUCCCGCUGCGCAGCCGGGAGAGAGCGGGGAGGGUGAGCCAGGCGCCGCCUUAAGCCUCCAUUUGCUGCGAGGAAGCGUUUGGCUCCGGGGCAAAGCGGCAUGGCCGAAGGUUUUUGACUUUUUCAUACACUGGCUUGACUUGAAAGAAGAGGUCAGUCUGAGAACAGCCUUUUUCUUUCCCAUAGAGGAAGACUGGAAUCUCUUAAGAGUCUGUCACUGCUACUCUGGUUGACAGGUGAUGCCGCCAAUGAGAUAAGAAUCGUUGCAUUCCCCACAUCAAAAGGUGGAACACACUGUAUGAUAUCUGUUUGCUGGAAGAAAUACUAACCAUAGAAGUCCUUAAGAACAUCAACAUUUAUUUAAUAUGAUAUAAAAGAAAUGAGAUAUGAACAAUCGUAUUUGAACACUCAUCCACACAGCACUGAUUUUGCACAGAAGACUGAAGAACAUGCUGAGAUGAAUAACAUCCUUUUGAAUUCUGCAUAGCAGGUAGUGCUGCCACUGAGGAUUUGACCACUUUCUCACCGUGCUUCCAGUGUGCUGGCAAACUGGGUAUGACACAUACGACUACAGUUUGCUGGAGGUAUGGAGGUAUGAAAUGAUAACUGAGGAAGGUGUUAAGGCUCAAACACAUGUGAAAACUACUAAAAGAAACAUCUGCAAAGCUUUGUUUUGAACUUCCUCUUCU